rnacentral:rRNA from 1 species
UACGUAGGGGGCAAGCGUUGUCCGGAUUUACUGGGCGUAAAGAGCGUGUAGGCGGCCACGCAGGUCCGUUGUGAAAACUGGAGGCUCAACCUCCAGCUGUCGACGGAAACCGUGUGGCUAGAGUCCGGAAGAGGAGAGUGGAAUUCCGUGGUGUAGCGGUGAAAUGCGCAGAUAUCAGGAAGAACACCAAUGGCGAAGGCAGCUCUCUGGGACGGUACUGACGCUGAGACGCGAAAGCGUGGGGAGCGAACAGG